CGGAUCAAUUUCUUAAGGUAAUCACUUUGCAUGAGUUAGAAGACUAUCUACUACCUGAAUGUGGAUAAAGGUUAAAAUUUCAUAAUAUGAUGCUCAAUAAAGUUGGAAUGUUGAGAUUUGAGUGUGUACAGAAUUAAACUUAACAAACAGAAACAGCAAGAUCUUUGAAACAAGUUUCACAUAACAGAAAUAAUACAAAAAGAAAGGUAUCUAUCUAUCUAUUUAUAUAUAACAACAAAUUUUCUUACAUAUGAGAGAAAAAGAAACAAAUCAGAUAGUUCAAAAUUAUAUCCUCCAACAGCGGAUGGAAUUUAGCACAAGCAUCUUUCUUGAUUGAAAACUACUAUCGUAAUAAACAGCAGUCCAAGUUGGUAUAUUCCAGCUGUAUUUGUAGUAUAAGUGAAGGAAUGGUUCCGAAUCAUGCGUUCGCAGAGUAACUUGGUAUAUUCAACCCAAGAUGGAAUGGUUUCGCUUGAACAGAUUCAUCAGUAUAUGACUUGAUGCUUCCUGCAAUUUAUAAUGACUAACGUUAAUUACCCAAAAAAAAUAGCAUAAAUUAGGUACAAUUUAUAAUCAAAUAAGCAAAACUAACCAAUGACUAUUGAAUUUUUAAAAAGAAUCACAAUACUAAUUUCUGAAUUUACAAACACACUAAAAAAAUCAAACAACAAUAACAAAUAAAAAAUAGAACAAAUACCAAAUUUGAAUAGAAACAUAAACCCAGAAAUUAAAAUUAUGAACAAAAAUCAAACAACAAUAAUAAAUAAAAAAUAGAACAGCAUGAAUAGAAGCAUAAACCCAGAAAUUGAGAUCAGAAUCAUAAAAACAAAUACCAAAUUUGAGUAGAAACAUAAACCCAAAAAUUGAAAUUAUGAUUAGAAAUCAAACAACAAUAACAAAUAAAAAGUAGAACAUUAUGAAAAGAGACAUAAACCCAGAAAUUGAAAUCAGAAUCAUAAAAAUAAAUACCAAAAUUUUUUAACCCUAACUCAAAUUUUAAACAACCAAGUAAACUGAACAAAACCACUAAUUGAAUGAAAUAAGAACAAAACUCAAUUGAAUGACUUCAACGAAACAGAUUCAUGCAGCAGAACAUAAAAGGAUAAAAAAAUGAGCUAAAUGAAACAAGUUCAUACCUGAGGCUGAGGCUCCAUUGAAACUCUUAAAGUGUAGCGAUGAAGGGGGAGACGGCGCUGAGGACGGACGACCGAAAGACGCGGUGCACGAUGAAGGCAGAAAGAACGACGGCACUCUGAAGCUGAAAAGGGAAUUCUCAAAUAAAC
rnacentral:lncRNA from 1 species